rnacentral:rRNA from 1 species
UGGGGAAUAUUGCACAAUGGGGGAAACCCUGAUGCAGCAACGCCGCGUGAGUGAAGAAGUAUUUCGGUAUGUAAAGCUCUAUCAGCAGGGAAGAAAAUGACGGUACCUGACUAAGAAGCACCGGCUAAAUACGUGCCAGCAGCCGCGGUAAUACGUAUGGUGCAAGCGUUAUCCGGAUUUACUGGGUGUAAAGGGAGCGCAGGCGGCAUGGCAAGUCCGAUGUGAAAACCCAGGGCUCAACCCUGGGACUGCAUUGGAAACUGUCAGGCUAGAGUGUCGGAGAGGUAAGUGGAAUUCCUAGUGUAGCGGUGAAAUGCGUAGAUAUUAGGAGGAACACCAGUGGCGAAGGCGGCUUACUGGACGACAACUGACGUUGAGGCUCGAAAGCGUGGGGAGCAAACAGG